rnacentral:rRNA from 1 species
UACGUAGGGUGCAAGCGUUAAUCGGAAUUACUGGGCGUAAAGCGUGCGCAGGCGGUUUUGUAAGUCUUUCGUGAAAUCCCCGGGCUUAACCUGGGAAUGGCGAUGGAGACUGCAAGGCUAGAGUUUGGCAGAGGGGGGUAGAAUUCCACGUGUAGCAGUGAAAUGCGUAGAGAUGUGGAGGAACACCGAUGGCGAAGGCAGCCCCCUGGGUCAAAACUGACGCUCAUGCACGAAAGCGUGGGGAGCAAACAGG